AACGAACGCUAGCGGCGCGUUUUAAGCAUGCAAGUCGAACGGGGAUAUUAGGAGCAAUUCUGGUAUCCUAGUGGCAAACGGGUGAGUAACACGUGGAUAAUCUGCCCUCAAGACCUGGAUAGCCCGCAGAAAUGCGGAUUAAUACGGGAUGUGGUGCCUGAUCAUGAGGAUCGGGACAUUAAAGGUGGGGACCGCAAGGCCUGCCGCUUGGGGAGGAGUCCGCGGCCCAUUAGCUAGUUGGUGGGGUAAAGGCCUACCAAGGCGACGAUGGGUAGCCGGCCUGAGAGGGUGACCGGCCACAUUGGGACUGAGACACGGCCCAGACUCCUACGGGAGGCAGCAGCUAAGAAUCUUCCGCAAUGGGCGAAAGCCUGACGGAGCGACGCCGCGUGGACGAUGAAGGUCUUCGGAUUGUAAAGUCAUUUCGGGGAGAAGAAUAAGCCGGCUCUAACAGAGACGGUGAUGACGACCCUCCAGAAGAAGCUCCGGCUAACUACGUGCCAGC
rnacentral:rRNA from 1 species